rnacentral:rRNA from 1 species
AACGAACGCUGGCGGCGCGUCUUAAGCAUGCAAGUCGAACGGCAAGAGAGGAGCUUGCUUCUCUCCUAGAGUGGCGGACUGGUGAGGAACACGUGGGUAAUCUACCCUUAAGAUGGGGAUAGCUGCUAGAAAUAGCAGGUAAUACCGAAUACACUCGGCAUAUCACAAGAGGUGUUGAGGAAAGGAAGCUACGGCUUCGCUUGAGGAUGAGCUUGCGUCCCAUUAGCUAGUUGGUGAGGUAAAGGCCCACCAAGGCGACGAUGGGUAUCCGGCCUGAGAGAGUGAACGGACACAUUGGGACUGAGAUACGGCCCAAACUCCUACGGGAGGCAGCAGCUAAGAAUAUUCCGCAAUGGACGGAAGUCUGACGGAGCGACGCCGCGUGGAUGAAGAAGGCUGAAAAGUUGUAAAAUCCUUUUGUUGAUGAAGAAUAAGGGUGAGAGGGAAUGCUCAUCUGAUGACGGUAAUCGACGAAUAAGCCCCGGCUAAUUACGUG